rnacentral:rRNA from 1 species
GGCUCAGGACGAACGCUGGCGGCGUGCCUAACACAUGCAAGUCGAGCGAGGAGAUCCUUCGGGAUGAUCCUAGCGGCGGACGGGUGAGUAACACGUGGGCAACCUGCCUCAUAGAGAGGAAUAGCCUUCCGAAAGGGAGAUUAAUACCUCAUAACAUUGCAGUUUCGCAUGGAACAGCAAUUAAAGGAGUAAUCCGCUAUGAGAUGGGCCCGCGGCGCAUUAGCUAGUUGGUGAGGUAACGGCUCACCAAGGCGACGAUGCGUAGCCGACCUGAGAGGGUGAUCGGCCACAUUGGGACUGAGACACGGCCCAGACUCCUACGGGAGGCAGCAGUGGGGAAUAUUGCACAAUGGGGGAAACCCUGAUGCAAGCAACGCCGCGUGAGUGAUGACGGCCUUCGGGUUGUAAAGCUCUGUCUUCAGGGACGAUAAUGACGGUACCUGAGGAGGAAGCCACGGCUAACUACGUGCCAGCCGCAGC